GGUGGCUCAGUGGUAGAGUGUUUGCCUUGCAUGCAAGAGGCCCUGGGUUCGAUUCCCCAGCACCA
rnacentral:tRNA from 1 species